GAACGCUGGCGGCAUGCCUAAGACAUGCAAGUCGAACGAAGUGGCCCAUUGAAGAGUGCGAGCUUGCUCAAACUUGGAUUUGGAUUCCCACUUAGUGGCGCAAGGGUGAGUAACACGUGGGUAAUCUACCUUCGAGUCUGGAAUAACAGUUAGAAAUGAUUGCUAAUGCCGGAUGAACUUGGGAACGAAAUUCUUUCCUUAUUAAAAGGGGCCUUUAAAGCCUCGCUUGAAGAUGAGCCUGCGCCGUAUUAGCUAGUUGGUGGGGUAAUGGCCUACCAAGGCAACGAUGCGUAGCCGACCUGAGAGGGUGAUCGGCCACACUGGGACUGAGACACGGCCCAGACUCCUACGGGAGACAGCAGUUAGGAAUAUUCGUCAAUGGGGGAAACCCUGAACGAGCAAUGCCGCGUGAAAAGGAUGAAGGUCCUAUGGAUUGUAAACUUCUGUUGUUAGGGAAGAACGACCUAUAUAGGAAAUGAUAUAGGAGUGACGGUACCUUUCAAGAAAGCUCCGGCUAACUACGUGCCAGCCGCGGC
rnacentral:rRNA from 1 species